AUGUUCGGGUGGAUGACGCCGCCGCAGCUCAAGGGGAAGGUGGUGCUCAUGCGCAGGAACCUUCUCGACUUGAACCACUGGCAGCAACCCGUGAGCCACGACACCUGGGACGAGGUCACCACCAAAGGCGUCACCUGCCAGCUCAUCAGCUCCACCGUCGCCGACCCGAAUGAUGAGAGUGGCACCCGGGGUCUCUUGGGCGAAGAGGAGCGGGUUGAGCACUGGGUGCUCCACUUGCCCCCGAUCAACCACGGCGAUACCACCUACGAUGUCACCUUCGACUGGGACGUGAAGAAGCAAGGCAUUCCUGGCGCCGUCAUCGUUCGGAACUACCAUGCCACCCAGUUCCUCCUCAAGACCAUCACCAUCGACGACAUCCCCGGCCACGCCGGCCCCAUCGUCUUCGUCGCAAAUUCAUGGGUCUAUAACACCAACAAGUACCACUACGACCGAGUCUUCUUCACCAACGACACGUACCUGCCAAGCGAGAUGCCGACGUUGUUGCAGCCGUUCCGAGAGGACGAGCUCCGGAUCCUGCGAGGGGACGACCCCAGGCAGAAGAACGGCGCCUAUGAGGAGCACGACCGCGUCUACCGCUACGACCUCUACAACGACCUCGGCGAUCCAGACCACAAGAACCCUCGCCCCACCCUCGGCGGCCCGGACAGCUUGUACCCAUACCCGCGCCGAGGCCGCACCGGCAGGAAGCCCAUGGUGACCGACCCCACGUGCGAGAGCAGGAACGUCUUACCCGUGCUCCAACAGUUCUAUGUCCCCCGCGACGAGAACUUCAACCAUGUCAAGAAAGCCGACUUCACGGCCUACCUCAUCAAGGCCAUCUCCGGCGGCAUCCUCCCCCUCCUCCGCCAGCAGUUCGACUCCGUCUCGCCGCGCGAGUUCGACGACUUCGAGGACAUGUACAAGCUCUACGAAGGCGGGCUUAAGAUCCCCGACAUCCCCGCCCUGGACGAGCUGUUCAAAUCGUUCCCGCCGCUGAGGAGCAUCAUGCCGGCCGGCGGGGACUUCCUCCUCAAGAUGCCCAUGCCGCAUGUCAUCAAGGAGGACAAGCUCGCGUGGCGGACGGACGAGGAGUUCGCCCGGGAGAUGCUCGCCGGCCUCAACCCACACAUCAUCACCCGCCUGAAGGUGUUCCCUCCGAGGAGCACGCUUGAAGGGUACGGUGACCAGACGAGCAAGAUCACGGUGGAGCACAUCCAACACAACCUCGGCAAGCUCAGCGUCGACAAGGCAAUCGACGCCAAGAGGCUCUUCAUCCUAGACCACCACGACAACUUCAUGCCUCACCUGCUAAAGAUCAACAGUCUUCCAAACACAUUCGUCUAG
rnacentral:rRNA from 1 species